GGCCCCGUCCCGUGUGGAGGACACUCUGCGGACGACGAGUACAAGGCCCGCGGGCCUCGGGAGUGCCAGGGUGAGAGAAGGUCACGUACUCUGACUCCGUUCAUGUAACUUUCUUAAAUGACAAGUGAUAUAAAUGGAGAACAGAGGCGCGGCCGCCUGGGGCCACUGACCGAUGAACGCCGUGAACCGGCGAUGCUGCGGGGUCCCAAGGGCAGGCGCUCUGGGUCGCGACGGGAUCCACGUCAGGCCCUGCUGGUGACGUUGACUGCCGUGACACCUGAGGGACUGCGUAGAACGCGUGUGGGUCAGCUCUUCUCUCUCCCAAGUGCGUGUAUCUGUCUCCAGUUAUCUCAGAGCAGGCGUUGAGACGUCUGGAGUGGCGCAGCCCACAGCCAACCUGAAGCCGGCCUUCACAGACGGACGGCCCGCUGUCCUGAGGGAGGGUGACCGCGUCAGCGCUCUGGGGAGGCCCGCCAGGACCGUGAGGGUCCCACAGUUGCUCCGUCAGUGGAAGAGUCCAGGAAAGGCCAUUUCUAAGGUAAGACUGUGACUCAGCUAGCAGUCAGCAUAGUGCUGGAACUUACUUUUAAAGGGCUGUAAUAGUUGUGGUUCAUUCUGGAGCACAGAUGUCAAAGACAUGGCAGGAAUUGGGUUUAGCCCAACGCAAAGAAGUGUGUGGGGUUUUUUUUCCUUUCUUUUUAAACAACAGGCACGUUCAAAGAAAAAAAUAAAAUGAAAAUGAGAUUUUUCUCUCGGGAAGUAGAAAUAACCUUGGUGUGAUGGAAAUGCUUGGUGUUGGAGACCAGCUUCUGGAGGCCUGGCCCCGACUGGGGCUGCGUCUGGUUCAGGGCCAUGCAGGGUUCCGUGGGGAGGCGCCUGUCGUGAGCCACAGCUCUGGAGCCCACUGCCACAGCCGCUGUAUAGGCUGCUGACCGUUGACCCGGGUGCUCAUACCUCUGCCGCCCCAGGGAAGCUUCGAGAGGAAAACCAGAAGGACACAGAAGGCAGCUGUGCAAACAGGAAGCGGCCCACGAUUCAUCCCCUUUCAGGUUCAGAGCUAGGACUGUAACCCUGGGAAAAUUUUAGCGUACCUCUCCAGACCUCUGUGAUGGUCAAGGGCUUCCUCCUCCGUGGGCACUGGGCCAGCAGCGCCCGCCCCUCUGCUCUCCCGGACCCAAGCCAGCACCGGUCACCUGGCCUUGCAGCUUCGAAUGGAGGAACGUGUUGCUGCUGGUCCCUGAGCUCAUUUCUACACGCGGCCCUUCCAAAGUGGGCGUCUGUCUGGGCCAGGACCGGCAGGUCAGAUACAACACGAUCCCUCAGCUGUCCAGGGCCCUGCAGCUUGGCCACUCCGAGUGCCCGGGCCUGCCUCCGCACAUGUGCUGCAGACCGCAGGGGAAGGCGGGAAGCCGGCCGGGCUGAGAACCUCAGAGCAGAGCCACAGCCACACAUGACGUCCGAUGAAGCCCGUGAAACGGCGAAAAAGGGAGGAGUGCGUGUUUCUGAAGUGAAACACGCGGGCUGAGUCCUGAGUGCCAAGGAGAACCCGGGCAGAAACGGUGGGUCAUUUCCGAGGGAGGCAGAAGCAGGCUAGCACAGCAGCUCUGGAGUCAGAAGGAAGCAGAGCAUCUCUGAGGGACGCACAAAUCCCAGGAAGCCCGAAUGCAGCCAGAGAGGGAGGAAAUCACGCCCAAAGAAGUAAAAAACAAACGGAAGACACCAAAAGGCAGAAGAGGGAGUUGAUAAAGAGAAAAGCUUAAUUAAUUAAGUAAUUAAAUCAGAAAGUACAGAAUUA